GAUAAAAAAAUUUAGAUAUUGAAAACAAAGAAUGAAAACACCUAAAAACGCUCUAACAAUCCAACUUGAAUGGCAAGCACGUCCAAGGGUCCUCCUUCUUCUCUUUGUUGCGGCACAAGGUGUGGUUUUAUGGAUGAGUGGUAAAUUAUGGUGGUGGAUGGAUAUAGGUGAGUUAUGGUGAAGGGUGGAUGGGUGGAUUGUGUUCUCUCGGCCAAGGAAUGAAAGUGUAAGUGUAUGGAGUUGUGAGAUGUGAAUGUAGUGUCUUUUGAUGGAUCUUUUUCUCCUUUGUUAUGGUGAAG
rnacentral:lncRNA from 1 species